UCUAAUACCGGAUAUUGACCUUCACGGGCAUCUGUGAGGUUCGAAAGCUCCGGCGGUGCAGGAUGAGCCCGCGGCCUAUCAGCUUGUUGGUGGGGUAAUGGCCUACCAAGGCGACGACGGG
rnacentral:rRNA from 1 species